rnacentral:lncRNA from 1 species
CUUUUAACUGCUUAAAUAUUUGAGUACUUUUUCUGCUCUGACUUUCAGUCCUCUGUGCUUGCAGUAAGACACAUCUACUGUUGUCUGAAAAAAGAAGAUUGUGAAACUGAUCUCUGUCCUUGGCUUGCAAGUGCUCNGGAAGAAGCAUUCCUCUGAAAAUGGAGUUGGAAAUGGAAAACAACAACCUGACAAUUCUGGUGGACAACCAAGGCUGGGAAAAAGUCACAGUUACUGUGGAAGCCAGACCACUGUUCAAGCUACUUGACGGAAAUAUUAUUUUCUUCUGGUUCAGAUGGCUUUGGUCCAACAUUUUCACAACAGAAGUUCACUCAAAAGAGAAAAAGCCAGUAAGCAGAGUGACUGACUGGAAUGUCAUCACCUACAAACUGGGAGAGCUUGGAUGGAAACUCUACAACAUCACUGUGCUGCGGCAGUCAGAUGGAUUCACUGCUACCUGCCUAACUCCACUGCACUGCACGUGGGUCAUUGAGGAUGGGGGAAUAUAUCAGGAAGAUAAUCGUACAAACAACUGUAAAUUUGCAUGCUCUCGUUCGCAUUCUCCAUCUGUUUGUGAAUAAGAUAUGGCUGUGUGAGUGAACCGCUUAUUUUGGAAAAUGUUAUGGUUCUGUCCUUAUAGAACUGAAGAAUUGUUGUCCAAGAAUGAAGUUCAUAAGGGAAUCAUGAGAAAGUUAGGAGCAUGGAUGAUCUUCANCACUAGUCACUAUACAUGUCUUGGGUCACCAACAAGACACAGCUGGGCUGAGAGGCACCCUUGAGGUCUUCCUCUGGUACCACUCCUGUGACUUGUUUUCAGCAUGAAGUAACCUUNCUCACCUCUCCUCCUGAAGGACACUGAGGCUGUGUCUCCACUUACCCCUCCAAGUUGUCCCUGUCAGAAGAAGGUGCUUCCUGCUAACCCAUCUCCUGUUUUGGCAGCAGAUGCUUUGCAGUGAUUAUGUCAACCUCUUUGCCACUGCAAUUGUCCUCCAAGGCACUUCCUGUGCAAGGUGCUUUUUCCUGCCCUGCNUGGAGGCACUGCACAAAAUGGUGCCUCUGUGCUUCAAGAGAGNGUCGCAGAGGGCACCACUGAUCAGGGUCCCUGCCCCAUCUGCCAGUAUUGCAGCAACCUCUCCCGAGACUGGAGAUGCAGUCUGAAAUUUUAAACUUAAUUGAUUAAUUAAAUUAAUGAACUGAAUCUAUUUUAUCUUUAUUUUAAACUUUUUGUGUAUUAGGUUUCAAUUUGUUUAACCCACCAUGGCAUCUUAUAUAAAUGUAAAUAAAUACAUAAAAC